UACGUAGGGUGCAAGCGUUGUCCGGAAUUAUUGGGCGUAAAGAGCUCGUAGGCGGUUUGUCGCGUCGGCUGUGAAAACCUGGGGCUCAACCCCGGGCCUGCAGCCGAUACGGGCAAACUAGAAUUCGGUGAGGGGAGACUGGAAUUCCUGGUGUAGCGGUGAAAUGCGCAGAUAUCAGGAGGAACACCGGUGGCGAAGGCGGGUCUCUGGGCCGAUAUUGACGCUGAGGAGCGAAAGCGUGGGGAGCGAACAGG
rnacentral:rRNA from 1 species